UACGUAGGUGGCAAGCGUUGUCCGGAUUUAUUGGGUUUAAAGAGUGCGUAGGCGGUCUAUUAAGUCAGCGGUGAAAUACUCCAGCUCAACUGGAGGGGUGCCAUUGAUACUGAUGGACUUGAGUCAAGUCGAGGUAGGCGGAAUUGACGGUGUAGCGGUGAAAUGCUUAGAUAUCGUCAAGAACACCAAUAGUGAAGACAGCUUACUGGGCUUAAACUGACGCUGAGGCACGAAAGUGUGGGGAUCAAACAGG
rnacentral:rRNA from 1 species